CCCUUAGAUGUUCUGGGCUGCACGCGCGCUACACUGACACACUCAGCGAGUCGCCUGAUCUGAGAAGACCGGGCAAUCAUGUGAGCGUGUGUCGUGAUGGGGAUAGAAUAUUGUAAUUAUUACUCUUCAACGAGGAAUUCCUAGUAAGCGCGAGUCAGCAGCUCGCGCUGAUUACGUCCCUGCCCUUUGUACACACCGCCUGUCGCUCCUACCGAGGGGGUGAUCCGGUGAAUGAUUCGGACUUUGGCAUUGCUAUGUUUCAUAGCAUUGCUGGGGGAAGUCUUGUGAACCUUAUCACUUGGAGGAAGGAGAAGUCGUAACA
rnacentral:rRNA from 1 species